CCUACGGGUGGCAGCAGUGAGGAAUAUUGGUCAAUGGACGCAAGUCUGAACCAGCCAUGCCGCGUGCAGGAUGACGGCCCUAUGAGUUGUAAACUGCUUUUGUACGAGGGUAAACUCCGAUACGUGUAUCUUGUUGAACGUAUCGUACGAAUAAGGAUCGGCUUACUCCGUGCCAGCAGCCGCGGUACUACGGAGGGUCCGAGCGUUAGCCGGCUUUAUUGGGUUGAAAGGGUGCGUAGGCGGGUUGGUAAGUUCGCGGUGAAAUGUCGGGGCUCAACCCCGCGACUGCGCCGAAUCCUGGUGGACUGGAGAGUAGUUGAGGUAGGCGGAAUGUGUGGUGUAGCGGUGAAAUGCGUAGAGAUCAGGAAGAACACCGAUGGCGAAGGCAGCUUACCG
rnacentral:rRNA from 1 species